rnacentral:rRNA from 1 species
AACGUAGGGGACAAGCGUUAUCCGGAUUUACUGGGCGUAAAGCGCCCGUAGGCGGCUUGACAAGUUGGACGUGAAAGCUCCUGGCUUAACUGGGAGAGGCCGUUCAAAACUGUCAAGCUAGAGUCUGGAAGAGGAGAGCGGAAUUCCCGGUGUAGUGGUGGAAUGCGUAGAGAUCGGGAGGAACACCAGUGGCGAAAGCGGCUCUCUGGUCCAAAACUGACGCUGAGGGGCGAAAGCGUGGGGAGCGAACGGG